GGGGAUUUAGCUCAGUGGUAGAGCCCUUGCCUAGCAAGCACAAAGCCCUGGGUUCGAUCCCCAGCUCCG
rnacentral:tRNA from 1 species